ACUGAGAUUUCUGGUUUGGGAAGUCAGACCCUGAGCCUAAGAGUGGCAUCCUGAAAGCACAGAGAAAAAUAACUCCCAAGUGUGGAGAUGCAGAGAGGAUACUGUUUAUGCUGAAAUGGGUAGGGAGCUGUGCGUACCCUCUUCAGGGAAGGAUCUGCUCUUUUUGCUCCCACAGAGUCACAUCAGUAAAGUAAGAGACCAGACUGGAGCCAGCAGGGAGGCUAGCCAGCUUUUACUACAGGAUAGAUGGAAAAGGACGAGGGAUGAAUCAGUGUGUCUCAUUUUAAUUGAGGUAUCUGUAGACUCCAGUACUUUUUGAAGUGCAAAACUCACAGGAUUUCAGUGCUUUCUGUGAUGUAGAAUUUAAGAAAGUGAAGGAUAUUGUCACAGCAGCAAAUGUCAGCCUCUCUGCAGUCCAGCUAGGUUCCUGAUAUAAACUUCUUUGUCCCCACCAUUAAGUGUUCAGGUACUGAGUGCCAGCUUGGUGGUAGCUCUUACUUGGGGUCUGUUCUCAGAAACAGACAUCGCCUUCUGAGGCUCAGGGCCGGUCUAACUCUCUUGCUACUUAUUCUGCUUUUUAUUUUCAUAACCCUGCUAUUUUUAUUUUGUUAAUUCUCUCGAUACUACCAUCCUGGCAGAGCAGACUUGAGUAAGUCCCUUUAACUUAAAGAUACUUUUUUUCCUAUGUUCAAGGCCAGUCACCUCCUCAGAAUUAAUUUAAGAAGGAAGAGAUUAAACUGAUGGAGAACUGGCAAAGGGGAUCAAAGGCUCAGGAAGAAGCAAGAGCUAAUCAGGUUUGGUUUGUAUAUCUGGUCUUUGAAGAAGAACUGUGUUGAGACUUUACAGGUUAAUAAAGACAGAAAGUGUAAAGCUUGAAGUCUCAGCAGAACCACCGGCAUUUGUUGAGGGAAGGAUGCAUUUCAUGUGUUAAUCAUGGGUUGUUGGUUUUGUUCUUAAGCAAGAUCAGGACAUGUAAACAUAUAUUUUAAACAAUUUUAAUGUAUAAACCACUGGAAUUAAAUAGGUGUUCUUGCCUUGCGGUUCCCUCCUCUGUGUUUUCCCUCCUCUGGGCUGGCUUAGGCAUCUCUGGACCAUCACUGUAUGGUGACCUGCACUGGGGAAGUGAUCAGCAGAGCUUUUGGAAGGCUGGUAUUUCAGUUGGGUCAGUUUUACAAACCAAUUUACCACAUGACCACAAAAAAGCUUUCUCUGAAGAAGUACAAGGAGGAGAAAUGGGUGCUGGCUUCCCCCAUGUCACUGAAAUAUGUACGGUUUGAGGCUGUGGUUUACUGAUAGAGCGAAUCUAACUGCAGGCUGCUACUGCCCUGCUCUUAUCACUUCCCUUGCACUUCGCACUCAUGUUUGUCUGGGAUCAGAAGUUCAGGGAACUGAAGCAGCUGAAGCCAAAUAAGAAAAAUUUAACUUUCUAAACAGGUUCAUCAUGAACUCAGACCAGUGCCAACACUGGCGUGAAGGAGACGGUGGAAACACAUGGUCAAGUACAGGGAGAGCGAAUGGUGACAGCAGCCACUGCUGGGUUUGCUUGACCACCCCUUCAGGGUUUAAUUUGCUGGAUUUAAUUUCAGACUCCAGUAGAAGACAAUUGUAAAAAUGGUGUUGAGUGCAAAAUGCCCAAUGCACAUGCUGUUACUGGACAGGAGCAGAGACUAAAUUUGACAAUGUUAUUUUCUUUCAAGGCUUUUACCUUUCCUUCUAUGCUUGUCACAGUAUUGUGCACAAAUGGACAUUCAAAUACUGACAUUUCAAGUGUUUUGAAAUUUGUACUGUGCAAUUUGCACGACCAGCUUAUCACCAGUGUGACAGCACUACUUCAGAAGGCAACCCUGACCUUAAUUAUCAGCUUUUUACAGUUUUCAGUUUGUGUCUUAGCAGUGCCUCAAUCUAGUAAAUGCGUUCAGAUCUUAAAGGUGCAGUUGCAAAUAAUUAAAAAAAUGUUCCUGAUCGCACUUGCUAAUUCAGAGCAAAUAUAGAAGCAUGUUUUCACAUCACAGGCUGUAAUUCUCCAUUUCCUUGCAAUUAUGUGGUUGGGUACAUGGGCUACCACAGCUGUGUCAGGGCUUUGCAGGCAGAUGAGAGUUUUCUGGUUUCUGUGAGGAACAAGGGGUAGGUCGUGCUGUGGGUUUUACAGGACUGUUGGUCCAAUGUGUUUGGCUGCUGCUGCAGAAGGAGGCAGCCCAAUUCCCUUGGACUGGGGCUUCUGCUGCAUGGCUGGUGCACUGCAUUGGUGCAUGUCUGAGGCCAUGGUGAACAGUACUGGGGGCUCAGACAGGGUGUUAUCGUGUCAAACUACUGCUGUUGAUGAUGUAAAAGGUAAGAUCAGCUGGGCUGAGGUCAGGGGAUGCGGACCCCAUAGUGAGAUUGGCUUCUCAGGGAAUCAGUUCUUGAAGUUAAAAGUUCAGCUCUGCCAGUCCAGGAGUCUCUUCUCACCCUGGUUGUUGCCCUGCUUGACCCUUGUUUACAUGUCAGGGUUUUGGCAGAGAUCAUAGCAAUGCUAGACAUGAUUUGGGUGACUCUAUCCAAAUGGUUCUGUGGCUGUUUGGGUGAGGGUGCCUCCUCUAUUAAGGCAGCAAGCACAGAGAUACUCACUUGAAGAUAAAAAAAUCAAAUGUCAAACUGUUACUAAAUGGCUGAUCAGGGCAAAAGCCAGUGCACCUAAGAGACAGUGAUAGCAAAGAUGGGAGCUUGAAAGUCAAGUAUAGUAAUACUGUGUUUGGUGUAACAGAAGACAAGGCAGUGAAAGGAAUCCGGGAGACAGACACUCUUAUUCUUCACAGCUCUUGAGCUGUGGCAACUGUUUUUCCAAGCUGUAUAUAAGAUUCAAACAAGAUCAUGUUUGUUGAGGACAGUGCCAGGAAGACUUGAGGUGGAAAAUAAUAGGGAAGGAGAACUUGCAACAGAGUUUAAACAUUCUGGGGGAGUGGUGCAGCUGUCCUGAAAGGGGCAUUGCACAAGGAAUUAGCAAGGACCAAAGUUCUUCUGCUCAUGCAGCACUAUCAUAUUUAUCUUAUAUGAAUCUUAUAUGCUCUACCUGGUUUGGGAAGAUUCUCCCACUCCCAGUAACGUAGUGGCCAUCCAGCACAGUAGCCUUUGGCUUUGUGUUACGGAGAUUUGUGUGGGUUUGCUUCCUUGCUUCUCACACUAAGUACUGUUGGGUGUUUUUCUGUAGCGUUUCUAGUAGUGUCUAGCUGAACUGCUCUACAGCCCACUGCCUCUGUGUCUGCACUGCUUACCUGUGUACUGGGACAGAUGGGUUUAUUGGUAUGUAAGAGUAUGUAUGCCAUGUCUGUCGCUCUCUGCAUUGGGAGUUGUGUCUUCAAGGCAUUGUGGCUGCUCAAAGCAGGCCUGCCUGUCCUUUACAAGCCAGUCUUGGCUCUGAUUUAAGAGACAAAGUGAAUCCAAGACAUAAUUACAAUAUGGCUAGUAAAAACAAUGAUUUUAAUUUAAUUCCAAUGAGUAUUGGAGAAUAUUCACAGUAAGCUGAUUUUUUGAGGACUUAUCUGAGGAGUCUGUCCAACAUUUAUGCUCAGCCUCUUUGGAAGGAGAAUCUGACAACACACAGCCAACACAUCACUCAAAGUUAGGAUUGCAAAUAAUGGAAAUGACUUCUGAAAAUAUAUUAGCUAGGCAUUAUUUAUAGCACUGAUUGUCAUCAGUGGAACAAUUUCCUUUCAUUUUUUUCUGAAAAGAUCCUUGUCUUGAUAAUCAUACAUCCUUUUCUACAGUAGCAUGUAAUUGUAUAGCUUAGAAAUUAGUGCAAUAUAAUAGAAAGCUGUUAAUUGUUUCCUGAUGCUCAGGAUGUAAUUAACUUACACUUUCCUCUAGUUGAAAUUAAUUUAUUUUUACUAAGACGUAGAAAAAAUUACUCUUAUCUUAAACUGCUGUUUUGUUGGUUGUCCCAUGCAAACAGAGGGGGGUUGUCUCGAGAAGAAGCUGAAAGUAGCAUUAUAAUGUAUAAAUCCCAGAAGAGAUUGUACAAAUAUCAUUUUGAGCAUGUCUAGAAGCUUAAAGCCUUGCCUUGAACAAUUAUUUUCAAAACUCAUAGCAUUUUGGACAAACUCAGACCUUUCAAGUCUUUUGGAAAAUGGUAGAAAUAGGUGAGAUUAAAUGAGGUUAAUAAAUAGAUCUCUGUGACAAGAAAAAUGGGUCCAUAAUAGGAGCCAUUGGUAUCAUGUUACUACAUGUCCUAUUAGACAAGGGGUGAAAAUGGGUUCUUAAAAACACAUUGAACAGAAGAAAUAAAGCAAGGUUUAUUAAAAGUUUAUGUUAUUAUAUUUUAAUAAGCCUUAUUUAUUUAUCUUUAAUUUAUGCAAAAUUAUGCAACUCUAAAAUAGACUGCAGAAAGUUGUCUUCCUACAAGACUCAAGCCCCAAAGAGGGCUGGCUCUCAGGUUGGGGUUGGGCCUGGGCACGUGAGCUGCAAGGAGGUGCUGAGGGCUGGGUCUGCUCUGCCUAGUGAAGAAAAGCUCUGGGAGAUUCUUCUGGUUGCAACUACGAAAAUGAGAUGAUGUAGGGAAAGGGGGAGCGAAUUUUCCAAGUUGCACAGGGAUGGUACAAGAGGCAGUAGUUAAAAUUUGCAAGGGACUUUCUAAUCAGAUAUUUAGAAAGAAUUACUCACUGUGAGUAUAGGUUGGACCAGAUGACCUCCAGAGAUCCAUCCCUUCCAACUGAAUAUUUUAUGAAGGCAUAGUGUGUUGUCUUCUUCAAGCUGUGGUGGGUGAUAUUACCAGCUUUUUGUUAUUGGCUGGUAACCAGAGAUGAUUAUCCAGUCAGUGACACUGGUGGGAGGACUUCUAAGAAUGCCUUCUGACCUGCUUCAGUGCAAAAUCAUCUGGGCUAGUUUGUACUGCUGCUCUCACAUUAUCCAGCUUUUCAACCAAAUUUAAGGAUGAGAAAUGUAUCCAUUUCCAAAUAAACCCCAAGAACUUUCAAAAUCUCUCUGUUUCUACUAAGAUUUUUAGGAGGAUGUGAAGAUGAUAGCCUGGCUCCCUUGACCUCAAUGUCUUAAGUUUGGCUAGGAUUUUACCUCAGAUCACAUAAGAUUCAUCAAAUUCCAACAUCAUAACUCUUCCCACCACCAAGACUUCUUUCCAAGAUAUUCUGGAAAUAUCUGUAUUUUGAUCUGUAGAUUAAUGUCUCAAAAACUUGGGAUACAGAAACCAAAGUGCACAUAUUUGGGGCAUGCUGGUUUCAUAGAAAUCCUUGAAGAGUGAGAAUAGGGAAAAGAUUUGAGACUGUAGAGAGUAAUGUGUGCUGUAAGGCCAGUAGGUCAUGGUGCCAGAAACGCUGCUGGCUGUGCUGUGUUGGCAUUACAGGAGCAACAAUAACCUCAGGACCAGCCACCUGCUCCUCUUUCUCACUGCCUGCAUGACACUCUCAGAUUCCCUCACCCUGUGGGACCAGGGUUUGGGAGUUCAUUCAUGUGCACAGUGUCCAUAGUCCUGCAGCUCCAACUUUGCUUGUGGAAAGAGGAUUUUCACCCACAUAUUAAGGGAGGAAGGUAUUUGAACUAUUAAAAUUUUCUUCCCUUGGAGAGGCACAUCUCAUCCUGUAGCCUGUUCUGCAAUCAAAAACAUGACUAUAUCAAGAAUGUGCCCAACCAUUAUGCCACCUAUUUAAAAAUAAUAUUUCUUUCAACUCACACGAAACAAUGGGAUUUUUUCUUUCUCUAUAUGCCAUUGUGUUUUAUCACAAUGUUGCAAGGCCUAGAUCCUUUAAAAAGGAAAAUCCAAUCUCUUUAGUUUUCUAUAAAGUGGUGAUUUUUCCAAGUGCUAUGCUUUGGGCCUACUAAUAAAUCAAACACUAGUGUUCGGAAGAAAAUUGCUUACAUUCACUUUGUUGGGCUACAGAGGGGCUAGAGCUGCUCCAAAUUAAUGUAUUAAUAACUCCCUAUUACUUUUUUUGGUUGAAUCUGGAAAUCAACACCAGCUGAAACAAUGUUUCAUACAUUAUUUGACAUUAAAUAUGUUUGUACCCUG